rnacentral:rRNA from 1 species
GGGUCAGUAGGUUGGUCGUGCCACCGGUACGUACUGGUCUCACUGAUUCCUCCUUCCUGAAGAACCGUAAUGCCAUUAAUUUGGCGUUGCGGGGAAACAGGACUGUUACUUUGAAAAAAUUAGAGUGUUUAAAGCAAGCUAACGCUUGAACACAUUAGCAUGGAAUAAUGAAAUAGGACGAUCGAUCCUAUUUUGUUGGUUUCUAGGAUUGACGUA